rnacentral:rRNA from 1 species
GUGGGGAAUAUUGGACAAUGGGCGAAAGCCUGAUCCAGCCAUGCCGCGUGUGUGAAGAAGGUCUUCGGAUUGUAAAGCACUUUAAGUUGGGAGGAAGGGCAGUAAGUUAAUACCUUGCUGUUUUGACGUUACCGACAGAAUAAGCACCGGCUAACUUCGUGCCAGCAGCCGCGGUAAUACGAAGGGUGCAAGCGUUAAUCGGAAUUACUGGGCGUAAAGCGCGCGUAGGUGGUUUUGUAAGUUGGAGGUGAAAUCCCCGGGCUCAACCUGGGAACUGCCUCCAAAACUGCAUGACUAGAGUACGGUAGAGGGUAGUGGAAUUUCCUGUGUAGCGGUGAAAUGCGUAGAUAUAGGAAGGAACUCCAGUGGCGAAGGCGACUACCUGGACUGAUACUGACACUGAGGUGCGAAAGCGUGGGGAGCAAACAGGAUUAGAUACCCCAGUAGUCC